rnacentral:lncRNA from 1 species
AUCAGAACAGUAAUUUGAUUUGAUAGAUAUUAUGAUGAAAGAUUCGAUUUUGAAAUUAGAGGAUGAUAUGAUUUAACGUAAAAGUAAUAUGAAUUUUUUAGGACUUAAGCAGAAAAAAAUAAAUUUUGAGGACAAAAUUUAUUUCUAGGGGUGAAGAAUGUAACACCCAGCCUGUUGGGCCUUAAACCCUAAAGCCCAAAAAAAAAAGAAAUUGAAUAAGACUCCCUGCGGGAGUCUUCUUCUCCUCCGACCGACUCCUAAUCGGAGUCGAAAAACCUUACCGGAGAGGAGUCAAACUCCUCCCCUCUGACUCUAUUUAAGGGGAAGACCCUUCUUCCUUCCUCCCACCAAAGAAAUUCGGAGCGAAACGGCAAGGAUCGCUGGAAUUUUUUCGUAGAAGCUGUCACCGUGCUCGCCUCGAUUUCUCGUCAGAGAGGUCACCGGAGCUCGAGGUAAGCCCCGAUUUCUCUUCCUUUCUUCUCUCCUUUCCUUCACGUGCCUGUGAGCACGAUCGUCGACGAUCGGAGUUACUAAAUUUUGUUGGGGAAAGGUCUCCUGUUUCGUCCCUUUUAUUUGGUUUUUCAGCAGCGGUGGUCACCGCCGACCAUCGGCUUUGGUUCCUCUGGGCCUCACUGUUGACGCCCUCCUACCACUGGCCACUACCAUGCCGGCUGCGGCCCUGAUCGGUUAGUCAAAGGGGGAGACCAUUCGGUCCCCUGUUUCACCCAAAGAAGGCCACGGGAAGAAGAAAAAAAGAAAAAAAGAAAAAAGAAAAAAAAAGAAAAGGAAAGAAAAAUAAAUAAAUAAAUAAUAAAAUAAAAAUGAGAGAGAGUUUCUCUUUCUUCUCUCUUCUUUCGAUCUGAAUCUUUACUUUCUCUUUCUAAAAUAUUGAAUUUUCUCUCUCUAGAUUUUUCUCUCUCUAGAUUGUUUCUCUUUCUUGAUGAAUUUCUCUCUCCAAAGUUAUUCUUCUAAGAUUAGCGUAGUGAAAGGCUUCAUUUUGAUGAUUUUGAUCGAGUUUAGUAAUGAGUCCAAUCCUAAGUAGAAUUUUGAUCGGAGAUUUGUUAGAUUUAAUUUUGAAUUAAAAUUAAUAUAAGAAUAUAAUUUUGAAUAAUAGGUACUGAAGAAUCUCCUAAAGGUUAAUCAAUCUAUUCAUUCAGUGAUCUGUGAAAGGUAAGUAAUGAAUCAUUUUUUUGAGAUAUUUCAUAUUUAUUUUAAAAGUAAAUAUAAUUAUUCUUAGAAUUAUGCAUGAUUUAUGAAAUUAUGUUUUGAAAAAAAAAUGAUUCUGAAAUACUAUGAUUUAUUGAUAAUACAUAUGUUCAGUGAAAAUUAUGAUAUGUUAUGAUACAAAAAGUAUUUUGAUGUAGAUCGAAUUUAUGCUCUCAGUCUAACUAUGUUUCAGUGGCUCCACCAAUAGGGAUCAUACGUUGGUAUUCAGUGGACCCAGCCAGUGGGGGUUGUGCGCUGGUGUUUAGUGGAUUCUACCAGUGGGGCUUAUGCGCAGGUAUUCAGUAGACCCCGCCAGUGAGGGUUGUGCGCUGGGGGUUAAACGUUGGUCAUAAUCGAGGCUGUUGAGUUAUGAGUGUUUUGAUUCUGAUUUUAUGAUUAUAUUAUAUGUGAAUAUUUGAAAAAAUUAAAUUUAUAUUGAAUUAGCAUGAAAUAUAUUUUUAUAUUUAUUCAUAGCAUUGUUCUUAAAAAUUAUAUAAAUAUCUGAAAUAUCUAGUUGAGAUAAUUGUUACUUACUGAGCUGUCUAGCUCAUUAUUUUUUUUUAUUUUUUAGAUUUAAAUAAUUAAUUGCGAGUGUAGAAAAUAAUAUUGAGACAGAGCUUUUUAAAGGUGAGAUU